AGGGGGGGAGCGAGCGUUGUUCGGAAUCACUGGGCGUAAAGGGCGCGUAGGCGGCCGGAUAAGUCGUGUGUGAAAGACCGGGGCUCAACUCCGUGUAUUGCAUGCGAUACUGCCCGGCUAGAGUAAGGUAGAGGCGAGUGGAAUUCCCGGUGUAGCGGUGGAAUGCGUAGAUAUCGGGAAGAACACCUGUGGCGAAGGCGGCUCGCUGGGCCUUUUCUGACGCUGAAGCGCGAAAGCGUGGGGAGCAAACAGGAUUAGAUACCCUGGUAGUCCACGCCGUAAACGAUGGGCACUAGGCGUUGGGAGGAUUGACCCUCUCAGUGCCGUAGCUAACGCGUUAAGUGCCCCCGCCUGGGGAUACGGCCGCAAGGCUG
rnacentral:rRNA from 1 species